AGACAGAGAAUUCCAUGCGGCAAUGGCUGUCAGCAUGUGCCUGUAACAUAUGUCUCAACGUUCUCUUCCUUAAGUGUGACCUAUUUUUGUCUUGCCAUUUAAACGUUGAUUGUUGACGUACUGUACAAUGGCCGAUUUAGAUGAUUUUUUUGCCAAGAAGGACAAGAAGAAAUCUAAAGUCAAAAAGUUCACGGCUAGUGAUCUGAUGACUUCAUCUAAAUUUGGAGAAGACGUGGCAGCCCCUCCGACCGGUGUUCCCAAGAAACAACCAGCAGCAGAAAGGCCAAAGAAAGAAGAAGUUACUGUACAGGAAACUGUAGAUUCUGAAGGUGUUUCUGUCAAAAGCAAACCCACUGUUGAAGUGGAAGAGGAAGAAUGGGGUGAAUUUGAACAAGAGAAGGAGCGUGAUUAUUCUGGCCUUAAAAUCCAGAAACUGCAAAUCCAAGACUCCGAAGAUGACUAUGGAGAUGAAUCUGGUGAAACAGAGCUGAAUGAAGAGGGAGAAAUUAUUAAAAAGGAACCUGCAGGACCUUGGAACAAGAUCAAUGCUCAGCCAACCCCUACUGCUGUCAAAGUUAAGGAAGCAGCAGUGGAAAUCCCUACUCCAAAUACUUCAGGAGGUGUUUAUAUUCCACCAACGAGAAGACUCCAGUCUGCUGGUGGAAGUAGCUCAAGCUCAUCUGCUGCCUCAAAAUCACGAACUGGCAAAAAGGAAAAGGGUGCACCAGACUUGAGCAAUCAAGAAUAUUUCCCUACACUGUCGGCAGCCGUAGCUAUUGAGCAAAACAACUACAAACUCAAGAAACAUUAUUGGGAAAAACUCGAAACAUCAACAAAAUUACCAGUGCAAAAACUAUGGUUCUUAGUCUCUCCUUGCUGUUUCACGAUCUAACAAGGGAUGGUGGAAGUCGUAUUGAUCGGCAGUCAGAAGAAUUUCUUAGUGUCAAGGAAUUGGCCAAAGAAUUGGCCAUGUCAUUUGGACUCGAUACGGUGAAAAAUCGCGAAGCUAUCACCGCCCUUCGUAGAGACGGAAUUAUUUUUGCCACAAAUCCACUCGAGAAUCCAAAUAAUCAAAUUGGCCCUCCUCUUAAUUUAGCGUUUCUUGAAAUUUGUGGCGAGUUUUCAAACAAACUGUUAAAACAAGACAAAAAGGUGGUUUUACAGUUUUUGGACCGAAUGCUGAUCAUGGGUAGGCUUUCACCUCGUCGAGAAUGGGAACCUUUCUACCGGAAUUCCUUGGUUAAUGGCGAAACUGAUCCACCUCCGCAUUCUGUCAGGAGCGCUAACAGACGACGUCGUCGUGAUACAGGUGGAGACGACGGUGAAAUCGCUGAUAACGAUGAUGGAUCAGAUCACGAAUUUUGCCGAGUGCGGGUAAUGUUACCCUGUUUGACUUCAGCAUUUGAGUCUUGUGAAUGAAUGAAGUGAAUUCGUAGUAACAUAACAUGUACGUGUAAAAGUUUCAUUUCAUUUUUUGAUAAAUUUCCAGUGUUAACGCAUCUUAUCUGCGAUGAUUUUAGGAAAUGUUAGUUUUUAUUAACGUUUGGUGAGGUGCUUUGUUAUUUAUUCUUUUGGCUACUGAACUGCGACACGUAAAUUUCCAUUUUAACAAUGGAUCCUGCUGUUAGAUUACGUACGAUCGCACUUGUUGGAUUCUCUAGGAUAAAUAAACACAGUUGACAGUU
rnacentral:misc_RNA from 1 species